rnacentral:misc_RNA from 1 species
GUGAAUCAUCGAAUUUUUGAACGCAACUUGCACUCUCUGGUAUUCCGGAGAGUAUGCCUGUUUGAGGUUCAGUGUAAAUAAAAAUCGAUGUAGUUGCUGCCUUUCGUGUUGACGCACCAGAUUUGGGUCGACUAGCCUUCGGUUAAGUGACCUAAAAUUUUACAUUAUCUUUAUCGAACUUAUUUAAAUGAUUUUAGAUACGUUUGAGAUAUUGAAU